rnacentral:pre_miRNA from 1 species
NAAGUACUCCCUCCGUCCCAAAAUUCUUGUCUUAGAUUUGUCUAGAUACAGAUGUAUCAAGUCACAUUUUAGUAUUAGAUACAUCCGUAUCUAGACAAAUCUAAGACAAGAAAUUUGGGACAGAGGGAGUAGUUG